rnacentral:rRNA from 1 species
GACGAACCGUCCAAACGUUAUUCGGAAUCACUGGGCUUAAAGGGUGCGUAGGCUGUCCGGUAAGUUGGGUGUGAAAGCCCUCGGCUCAACCGAGGAAUUGCGUCCAAAACUGCCGGGCUUGAGGAAGAUAGAGGUGAGCGGAACUAAGGGUGGAGCGGUGAAAUGCGUUGAUAUCCUUAGGAACACCUGUAGCGAAAGCGGCUCACUGGGUCUUUUCUGACGCUGAGGCACGAAAGCUAGGGGAGCGAACGGGAUUAGAUACCCCGGUAGUCCUAGCCCUAAACGAUGAGCACUGGUUUGGAGGGCCCUCCAUAGCCCUCCAGACGUAGCGAAAGUGUUAAGUGCUCCGCCUGGGGAGUAUGGUCGCAAGGCUG